rnacentral:tRNA from 1 species
AUCUCGCAAGUGUAAUGGUUGCACGGUGGUCUCCAAAGCCAUAAAGACAGGGUUCGAUUCCUUGGCGGGGUGC